CUUAUCUCAGUUUGUUCCCAAUUUCAUCCAGAAAGCCUUUCUUCCUUUGAUGGCUUCCCAUAGAUUUGUGUCUGUUUCCCACCGACUGCAAGAGGCCGUGAAGGGCAACAGAUGUGUCGCUGCUGCUUAGUGACGGCCUCGCCGGCGGGCAUGAAUAGUCACUGUCGGUCAAUCUGUCUUCAUCUGGUAUGCUUUCAUCUCCGUUAUUUUUGUUCUAUCUCAAAGCGACAGCAUCAUUUUUACCCUCUUCCAACAAGGUUUUUCUCCCUUUUUUCUCUUUUUGACUUCGACUCUUUCAGUGCGCCUCUUUGAUGUUCGACCGCCUUCAUCUCAAUUUGUGUUUUAAUCUCUAUCUUUGUUCGUCUCUGAUAUACCGCUCUCUAAUUUCUUUCCACCUACGUGUUGUUAUCUAGGGUUUGAUGAUGAUGUGAAUGAUCACUUCAUCGACCUAACACUGCUCCGGCGAGGAGAAAGCCUCCGGCAAAAGCCCCUGUUAAGGUAUUACCGGAAAUGAUGAACCCGAUCCAGGUAGGUUUGAGCCCUAAUUUUUUCUAAUUUGUGCUUUGUUGUUUUUAAUUGUGGGAUUAAUCCCUCACUGGGUUGCGGUCCUGCCCUAGAAAAUCAUUUCCAGCUGGGUGUACGCUAUCCGGUUCUACUCGGUGCGAUCACAUACAUUUAUGCUCUGAGGUAUUGGAAACUUUGAAAAGCAUAUAAAAUUUCAUUUUAUUAAGUUUUGAAACUGAUAUUUUGUGGUUACCUUAUUGAUUACAUGCUUCUACAGGUGGCUAUUUGUUUCUCUUUGACAGCAAGGUCCUGAGGUUUUUUUUUUUUUUUUUGUAAAGAUGGUCAUAGUUGGAGGAGAAAGAAAGACAGAAAAGCCCUUGGAGAGGCACAUGAUGAUGUAAAAGUUUUACGUCUUCUCAUGUUCCUUUUUUAUUACUUUGGAUAUUCUUGCUUAUGUUAAAAUCCUUUUGUGUAGGUUAGAAUUGUUACUAUGUGAACAUAAUCACAUCAGUUUUUUGAGUUCAGUAACAUAAGAAGGAAGUUAUUUGUCAUCAUUAUGAGCAAUGGUGCAAACAGAGCUUUCAUGCUUUAAAAAACUGCCUCUAGAUUCAUUUAAUUUGUGAAUCACAUGCAAAAAUUAGAGUUAUUUUUAUUGCUCUUCUCUUUGCUCAUAAACACCCUGUAUAGCUAAUUUCGCAGUUAUGUUGAGACCAUAGAACUUUGAUUCAGGUUCUUAACUUAUUUAUCCUCUCUAACCUCUCACUCAUUAACAAUGUUAUGUAAUUUGACUAAUUAGAAAUCAUAAUUAAAAGGGUGAAGCUAAAUUAUUGCAAAAGAUUGAGAGGGAGCUGUUGCUAACCCAUUUGAUGUUUUCACACUCAAGAAUUAUCUCUUAAAACAAUUUCUUACCAUAGCUUUAAUUCAUAAAUUGAUCAUUCUGUUAUGUGAUACUACUUGAUCAGGCAACUCCAAUAUUGGCAUCCACGUCAACAGAGACCAGGUUCACAUAUAUUUUAGUCAGGAAGCCAUCAAGUUCAUCUGAUUCUGGUAUUGGUGUUAUAAUCAUUUAUAAAUCCACUUAACAAUGAAAAUCUUUACAGUUAACAUCAUAAAACAAUAAACUAUAUUGACCUUCUUUGUUGUGCUUGAAAUAGAAUAAAAAACUUCCAUUAAUGGUGCUAGAUCCUGCAACGUUUUUUACAUGGUAAUUGCAUUUUCGUAUCUUAAUUACUCCAUUUUAUGGAGUGAAACAUGUGAUUAUUAACGAAUAUGGAUUAUACUAACACGAGGCAUCAGUAUUUUUUAGUAACCCUUUCAUUUGGGUAAUUGACCAAGUGACUUCAUUUUAUAAAAAACAUUUUCUACUUUAUAUUUAAUAUUUUUUGAAUUUAGUGCAUAUUACAUUGAUGUUUAUGAACGUGGCAGUUAAAUCCUUUAAUGCUUUGAUAGGUAGUAAAUUGUGUACUGUUACAUACUUAUGUGUUCGGUUAAUGUAUUCUUUUACAUGAUUUAUCUAAAAUAAAUUCAUAUAUGGUUCAUGUGUUCAAAAUAAAAAAAUUUAGCCAGGUUCCUUCGACUCUUUCAUUGGUUAGUUAAUUUGUAAGAUAACAAAGUUUUUUUUUUUUUUUAAUAUAUUUACUCAUUUAUAAUUUUUUAUACAAUAUAUCAUUUUUCAAAAAACAUUAUUAUUAUUAUUUUUUAAAAAUAUUUACCAAUUUUUUUUUUAACUCCUUUUAUAUAAUUACUCUAUUCCUACCUAUUUUUUGAUCUGUAGUAUUUUCAUUGAUUCGCAGGUGGAUUAUGUUUCCCGGGUGUGUGAUCAAUCUAAAAUGUAUCAGCUUUUGAAGAUUAACGAAAAGGAUUUGUUGUUAACAAUGUUUGCUUUUCCAUCUUUUCUUUUAUCUAAUUUAAAAAUAAAUUACAAAAGUUUUCCUUUUUUGUAAUGUUUUUGGUCAUCUUCCAAGUAAAAUGCCUACAUUACCUUUUUUUUUUUUUUUUUGUUUAUACAUCAAAGGGUAACAUUGUCAAUUGCUUAAAACAUGACAAAAGCACCACAAAUAUCUCAAAUAAGCUACUCAAAUAUCUUGAACCAAAUUAUUAAAUUGUUGGUCUUCUACACGAAAAGCAGAUGGACCUGCAGAAAAUAAAUACAAAUAACUCUUCUGUUUUUCUUAUUAAGCCAUUAUAUUUUAAAAAUCUACCAAAUAUAGCAUUAUACUUUCGAAUUUUGCAAAUAAUCUUGAUUAAGCCAGCCAAUUUUCUUUUGUAUUUAAAUGACCUAUUUGGGUAGAUUAUUGUGUUUCAGGGGUUCCAAGUUCCUCCACUUUGGAAUCAAGGUUUCAUU
rnacentral:lncRNA from 1 species